CCUACGGGUGGCAGCAGUGAGGAAUAUUGGUCAAUGGGCGCUAGCCUGAACCAGCCAAGUAGCGUGAAGGAUGACUGCCCUCUGGGUUGUAAACUUCUUUUAUAUGGGAAUAAAGUGCAGUAUGUAUACUGCUUUGCAUGUACCUUAUGAAUCAGGAUCGGCUAACUCCGUGCCAUCAGCCGCGGUAAUACGGAGGUUCCGAGCGUUAUCCGGAUUUAUUGGGUUUAAAGGGAGCGUAGGCGGGUUGUUAAGUCAGUUGUGAAAGUUUGCGGCUCAACCCGGGCCUUGCAGCGCGAACUGGCGUGCUUGAGUCCGCAGAAAGCAGGCGGAAUUCGUCGUGUAGCGGUGAAAUGCUUAGAUAUGACGAAGAACCCCGAUUGCGAAGGCAGCUUGCUGCAGCGGAACUGACGCUGAUGCUCGAAAGCGCGGGUAUCGAACAGGAUUAGAUACCCCUGUAGUC
rnacentral:rRNA from 1 species